rnacentral:rRNA from 1 species
UCUGGUUGAUCCUGCCAGUAGUCAUAUGCUUGUCUCAAAGAUUAAGCCAUGCAUGUCUAAGUACAAACCUUAAUACGGUGAAACCGCGAAUGGCUCAUUAAAUCAGCUAUGGUUCCUUAGAUCGUCUCAUCCUACUCGGAUAACUGUGGAAAAUCUAGAGCUAAUACGUGCUUACAAGCCCUGACCUCACGGGAGGGGCGCAUUUAUUAGAUCAAAACCAAUCGGGGCUUGCCCCGUCUGCUUGGUGACUCUGGAUAACUUUUGUGCUGAUCGCAUGGCCUCUGCGCUGGCGACGUAUCUUUCAAGUGUCUGCCCUAUCAACUUACGAUGGUAGGUGAUAUGCCUACCAUGGUUAUAACGGGUAACGGGGAAUCAGGGUUCGAUUCCGGAGAGGGAGCCUGAGAAACGGCUACCACAUCUAAGGAAGGCAGCAGGCGCGCAAAUUACCCACUCCCGGCACGGGGAGGUAGUGACGAAAAAUAACGAUACGGGACUCUUUUGAGGCCCCGUAAUUGGAAUGAGUACACUUUAAAUCCGUUAACAAGUAUCUAUUGGAGGGCAAGUCUGGUGCCAGCAGCCGCGGUAAUUCCAGCUCCAAUAGCGUAUAUUAAUGUUGCUGCAGUUAAAAAGCUCGUAGUUGGAUCUGAGGACUCGAAUUGGUGGUGCACCAUACGGUGUUACUGCCGAUUCGGCCUACCUAGUCGGUGCUCGCUCUUGGUGUUCUUAAUUGAAUGCCCUGAGUGCCCGGCAAGUUUACUUUGAAAAAAUUAGAGUGCUCAAAGCAGGCCAUUAGCCGGAAUACUUCAGCAUGGAAUAAUGGAAUAGGACUUCGGUUCUAUUUUGUUGGUUUUCGGAACCCGAGGUAAUGAUUAAGAGAGACAGACGGGGGCAUUCGUACUGCGGUGUUAGAGGUGAAAUUCUUGGAUCGCCGCAAGACGAACAACUGCGAAAGCAUUUGCC